rnacentral:rRNA from 1 species
GAUGAACGCUGGCGGCGUGCUUAACACAUGCAAGUCGAACGGGAAACCUUUUAUUGAAGCUUCGGCAGAUUUCGCUGGUUUCUAGUGGCGGACGGGUGAGUAACGCGUGGGUAACCUGCCCUAUACAGGGGGAUAACAACCAGAAAUGGUUGCUAAUACCGCAUAAGCGCACAGGGCCGCAUGUUCCGGCUUGAGAAACUCCGGUGGGAUAGGAUGGACCCGCGUUGGAUUAGCCAGUUGGCAGGGUAACGGCCUACCAAAGCGACGAUCCAUAGCCGGCCUGAGAGAGUGAGCCGCCACAUUGGGGCUAAGACACAGCCCGGAAUCCUACGGGAAGGAGCAGAGGGGGAUACUGCACUAUGGGGGAAGUCAUGAUGCAGCGCCGCUGCGUGAAGGAAGAAGUAGCUCGGUAUGUAAACUACUAUCAGAAGGGAAGAUAGUGACGGUACCUGACUAAGAAGCCCCGGCUAACUACGUG